rnacentral:rRNA from 1 species
GAGUAAAGAUUUCGGUCGCUUUGGGAGGAGCUCGCUUACUAUCAGCUUGUUGGUAGGGUAAUGGCCUACCAAGGCUAUGACGGUUAGGGGGUGUGAGAGCAUGACCCCCAGCAUUGGCACUGAAACACUGGCCAAACACCUACGGGUGGCUGCAGUCGAGAAUCUUCCACAAUGGGGGAAACCCUGAUGGAGCGAUGCUGCGUGCGGGAUGAAGGCCUUCGGGUUGUAAACCGCUUUUGUAGGGGACGAAAUUUUUGACGGUACCCUUUCGAAUAAGAGGUUGCUAACUCUGUGCCAGCAGCAGCGGUAAUACAGAGACCUCAAGCGUUAUCCGGAUUUACUGGGCGUAAAGCGUCUGUAGGGGGUUUAUUAAGUUCCAAGUAAAAUUUCAAGGCUCAACUUUGAAUUCGCUUGGAAAACUAAUAAACUGGAGUCUAGCAGAGGUGCAUGGAACUUGUGGUGUACGAGUGAAAUCCGUUGAUAUCACAAGGAACACCAAAGGCGAAGGCAUUGCACUGGGCUAGCACUGACCCUGAGAGACGACAGCGUGGGGAGCAAAACGGAUUAGAUACCCGUGUAGUCCACGCCCUAAACGAUGAAUGCUUAAAUGUUUCGGGGGAUUCGACCCCCUGGGUGUUACAGCUAACGCGUUAAGCAUUCCGCCUGGGAAGUACGGCCGCAAGGGCUAAAACUCAAAGGAAUAGACGGGGAUCCGCACAAGCGGUGGAGCGUCUGGUUUAAUUCGACAGUAAGCGUGGUACCUCACCAGGGUUUGACAUCCCUUGACAGUCUUUGGAAACAAGGUUUCCUUCGGGCAAGGUGACAGGUGCUGCAUGGUCGUCGUCAGUUCGUGCCGUGAGGUGUUCCGUUAAGUCGGGAAACGAACGAAACCCCUAUUGCAUGUUACAAUUUCUCAUGCAAGACUGCCCGGAUAUACUGGGAGGAAGGUGGGGAUGACGUCAGAUCUGCAUGGUCCUUAUACCCUGGGCGACACAGGCGCUACAAUGGCAGAGACAAAGGGUUGCAAAACCGCAAGGUGAAGCUAAUCCCAGAAACUUUGUCUAAGUUCGGAUUGAAGGCUGCAAUUCGCCUUCAUGAAGCUGGAAUCGCUAGUAAUCGUGAAUCAGCCACGUCACGGUGAAUAUGUUCCCGGAUCUUGUACUCACCGCCCGUCACACCAAGAGAGUUGGUAGCUCCCGAAG